rnacentral:rRNA from 1 species
GGUUGCGAUCAUACCAGCACUAAUGCACCGGAUCCCAUCAGAACUCCGCAGUUAAGCGUGUUUGGGCGAGAGUAGUACUAGGAUGGGUGACCCCCUGGGAAGUCCUUUUUUUUCCGUUU